UACGAAGGGGGCUAGCGUUGCUCGGAAUCACUGGGCGUAAAGCGCACGCAGGCGGAUUGAUAAGUCAGGGGUGAAAUCCUGGAGCUCAACUCCAGAACUGCCUUUGAUACUGGGAAGCUUGAGUCCGGAAGAGGUGAGUGGAACUGCGAGUGUAGAGGUGAAAUUCGUAGAUAUUCGCAAGAACACCAGUGGCGAAGGCGGCUCACUGGUCCGGUACUGACGCUGAGGUGCGAAAGCGUGGGGAGCAAACAGG
rnacentral:rRNA from 1 species